UACGAACCGUCCAAACGUUAUUCGGAAUCACUGGGCUUAAAGAGUCUGUAGGCGGCUGAGAAAGUAGGGUGUGAAAUCCCACGCUUAACCGUGGAACUGCGCCCUAAACUACUCAGCUUGAGGGAGCUAGAGGUAAGCGGAACUGAUGGUGGAGCGGUGAAAUGCGUUGAUAUCAUCAGGAACACCGGAGGCGAAGGCGGCUUACUGGGGCUUUUCUGACGCUGAGAGACGAAAGCUAGGGUAGCGGAACGGG
rnacentral:rRNA from 1 species